rnacentral:rRNA from 1 species
AACGAACGCUGGCGGCAUGCCUAACACAUGCAAGUCGAACGAGACCUUCGGGUCUAGUGGCGCACGGGUGCGUAACGCGUGGGAAUCUGCCCUAGGGUUCGGAAAACUAGUGAGAAAUUACUGCUAAUACCGGAUGAUGUCUGCUGACAAGAGAUUUAUCGCCCAGGGAUGAGCCCGCGUAGGAUUAGCUUGUUGGUGGGGUAAUGGCCUACCACGGCGACGAUCCUUAGCUGGUCUGAGAGGAUGCUCAGCCACACUGGGACUGGGACGCGGCCGAGACUCCUACGGGAAGCGGCAGUGGGGAAUAUUGGACAAUCGGCGCGAGCCUGAUCCAGCCCUGCCGGGUGAGUGCUGAAGGCCUUAGGGAUGUAAAGCUGUUUUAUCCGGGGUGGUAAUGACGGUACCGGGAGAAUAAGCUCCGGCUAACUCCGUG